rnacentral:rRNA from 1 species
GACGAACGCUGGCGGCGUGCUUAACACAUGCAAGUCGAACGGAAAGGCCCUGCUUUUGUGGGGUGCUCGAGUGGCGAACGGGUGAGUAACACGUGAGUAACCUGCCCUUGACUUUGGGAUAACUUCAGGAAACUGGGGCUCAUACCGGAUAGGAGCUCCUGCUGCAUGGUGGGGGUUGGAAAGUUUCGGCGGUUUGGGAUGGACUCGCGGCUUAUCAGCUUGUUGGUGGGGUAGGGGCUUACCAAGGCUUUGACGGGUAGCCGGCCUGAGAGGGUGACCGGCCACAUUGGGACUGAGAUACGGCGCAGACGCCUACGGGAGGCAGCAGUGGGGAAUAUUGCACAAUGGGCGGAAGCCUGAUGCAGCAACGCCGCGUGCGGGAUGACGGCCUUCGGGUUGUAAACCGCUUUCGCCUGUGACGAAGCGUGAGUGACGGUAAUGGGUAAAGAAGCACCGGCUAACUACGUG